AUGCACGCUUGCGGCUUGCCUUAUCCCUUCCAGUUGAGCGUACGGACCAGUAUCUUCCUUCUCUUAUGUUUGCCGCGUACCGGUUAGUUACUCUUUGCUUACCUACCUAUUUUUCUGUGUUUACUUCCGGAAACCGGCUCUCAUUCCUGCUACUUUUUUUAACCGCUUGGUUCCAUAGUGUCUUCCGGUCUUGCUUUCACUUAUAGAUGGAUCCCCGCUGCAUUAGUUAGUUGGUAAGGUAACGGCAUACCAAGGCAACGAUUCAUAGCCGACCUGAGAGGGUGAUCAGCCACACUGGAACUGAGACACGGUCCAGACGCCUACGGGAGGCAGCAGUAGGGAAUAUUCGGCAAUGGGCGAAAGCAUGACGGAGCAACGCCGCGUGAGUGAAGAAGGACUUCGGAUCGUAAAACUCUGUUAUUAGGGAAGAAAAGAAGUGGAAGAAAAAGUGGACAUAAUGACGGUACCUAAAGAAAAAGCAACGGCUAACUACGUG
rnacentral:rRNA from 1 species